rnacentral:rRNA from 1 species
AUGCCGCUCCCCAAAGACAUCCUCAGAUGUGCCUCCCUCACCCGCCUCUACAUAGGCGUCUGGAACUUCCCGGACAUUCCCACCGCUCACCGGCCCGCCUUCCCAAACCUCCACGAGCUCGGCCUUUUCCACUCCAUGGUCGAAGACAAGAAGUUCAACGCCUUGCUCGCACACUGCCCUGAAUUGAAGAUCCUCUCCUUUGCCCUCUCGUACAACUACCCUUCAUGCCUCCGCAUCAAGUCCCGCAGCCUCCGUGUGGUAUUGGAAUGGGUAUGCACCUUUGAUAAAAUCAUUGUUGACGAUGCCCCCUGCCUGGAGCGCCUGCUCUUCGAAAGCUUUUCCGAGCAGAGGAGGCCCGUCAAGAUUGUCCAUGCGUCCAGGCUGGAGGUGCUCGGGUUCUUGGACUUCCAGCUCCACACGCUCGAGAUUGGCGGCACCGUCAUCAGGGCUGGGAUGACUAUGAAAGAUGGCGCCUUGCUGCCAAGUUUGAAGAUACUGGCUGUCAAGGUGCGGUUUUCGCAUGACAAGGAGGUCAAGAUGCUGCACACUCUGCUCAGAUGCUUUCCUUGCCUCGAGACGCUCCACAUCAUGUCCAUUCCAUCCUGGUCUGCUGAUAGGGGUGAUUGUGCCGAGACCUGGAAUUCCAUGGGCUCUUCCAACUGCCUCUCUCAUCUGAAGACAUUCGUCCUCCACGGGUUCCGAGGCCUGGACCGUGAGCAGUUGUUCGACAGUUACAUACUGGAGAAGGGGAUAAAGACGCUGGGCAUUGUCUGUGGUGACAGUGAUGGUGUGCUACUGAAGGGCAAUGCACCAUCAGGUGGAAGCAGUGGUAGUGGUAUUUCUGUUUGCCCCGCCUCCAGUUGCUGGAGCUUUCAGCACGCCAUCGACUUGUCAGUGGAGGACCCGUUCUGCGUGUUGAGGCGUGACAAGGCCCGCAUCGCUUCUUUUGCUGAGGCAAUGAGACUUUGCGCUAGUUUGGGUUGUUGA